AUGUCAAAAACAAAUAGGGUAAUAAAGAUACCCGACCCUGCCAUCCAGAGGGAGCUAUUACUCUUUUACCUGAGGGCUUGCCUGCAGGUGCAGUGCAAGGUCGGGAAAGCCGGCACCUCUGUCCUCUCGGUGCCUGUGUGUCUCCGCGCUGGGCACGUUCCCAAGCCCUCUCCCAGCUAUUCGAAAUGUAGAAGUAAUUUUCACCAGCCAGGCCGCGCAACUGUGCUGCAGAACGUGAGCUUCCCUUUGUUGGCUCACAGCUGCGUGCCUCAGGCCUUCAGCAGCUGCGUAGCCCUCUGGGUACCUGGGCGAGACCUUGAGCUUGAGGGCAACAUGACCGGCCUUCGUCACCUUCAACCCUUUUAGUGCUUUUCUCUUGGACUGGGUGAAUCCAUGAGAGACGGGUGUUAGUCAAGCUCCAGUCUUUGGGUCCAGGGCUGGCUGUCCACACUCUGGAAGCCAGGAGGAGGCCGCUGGAGAUCUUGGCGUUCAGAAUGUGCAUGCUACUGGAGCGCUCUGCUCGCGGUAGGAAAUCCUCUCCCUCAAACAUACUUACUGCACUCCAGCCUAGAGACUUGACUGCCCGAUUUCUUCCUCCAGAGACGUGACCCCAAUCUUGUUCUUUUCAAAGGAGGGGCAGGAAAUGGGAAGCUAAUUCCCUCCUCAGCAGACACUCGACCCACCGCCUGUCUUGAUCCUCACUUUCCUUCUGGACGACAGACACCUGAUGCCAAGCCCUGAGUUUCUGGAAGCUCUGUGUGUUAAUUAGUUCUUCUUGACUUUCCUGUGUGUUAAUUAGUUCUUCUUGACUUUCCUCAUUGCCAGGUUAGCACCUGGCUUCCUCAGAUCGGCAAGGUCAGUUAUCAUAUGUGCAUUCCCUGUCCUUGUAGAUGUCCUUGCGAGUGUAAGUCUAGUAGCACUGGGAGGGCCGAAGGAUGGAUCUGUGCUGUGACUACGCUAAAAAUCACUAAAGUAUUCACUACAAAAGGGUAAAUUUUACGUGUAUAUAUAUAUAUAUAUAUUUUUUUUUUUUUUUUUCCUUUUGUAGACAGGGUCUCACUAUGCAGUUCAGGCUGGCCUUGGGCUCACUUUGUAGCCUGGUCGGGCCUCGAACUUAGCGAUCCUCCCGCUUCAGCCUCCCGAGUGCUGGGAUUACAGGUGUGUGCCACCAUGCCCGGCUUGUAUAUCUCAAUAACAUGCAUUUAAGAAAUGAACGAGUGUGUGCCAAAAGCCAUCUCUGUUCCACAGUGGACUCUGCAUUUCAGAGACGCAGUGGACCAGAGCAGCACAUGGAGGAAGCCCGGGACUGCGGUGGUUUAACUGAAGACCCGGCUAAGACACUCUCAGGUCCCGAAUCGUACCGCCUUGCAGCGCGGCAUUUCAGCCCUGCCCCUGGGAACCUGCGUCCUAGCGAGGUCUCUGUCCCCUCCGGCACCCACAACCUGAUGGAGAGGGGUUCAUUCCCGGCGGUUUCCAUCCGCAGCCAGCGGGCCAGGGCAGAAGCAGCGUGGGGAGAGCAGGCUGGCAGAGGAAGGCGGCCGGCGUCAUGGUGACCGGGAAGCCCAGGGGACAGGAGAGGUGCCCGGAGGCAGAGGCGCCCUUGCCGGCCGGCCCCUUCCCGCCCUUUCACCCGGGCCCUGCCGCAGGAGCACGUCUAGGUGUUCCCGGGGAUCCACCCACGGACCAGUCCUUCCGGAAGCUCCACCUCGGCACGCACAGGCUUGCGGGGACACUGUGGAUCUAACGCUCACCCCAGGCUCUCCGGGGCCUCCUGAGAGCGCACUGCGGACACCCUGGAGAACCUCUGUCCCGGCGCGGCGCAGUCGGGCAGCGCUUCCAACGUCUGAAAACAUUAAUUCUCCUAAGUGUCGCACCUGGACGCGCGCCUGGCCGUGCACCCCGCGGCGAUGGGAAGUGAGCACACAGUAGGGCGGCGACUCGGAACCGGGUCGCACCUCUCCUGCGCUCCCGCUCGCGGCACGGGGUCCGGUAGGUGCUCAGAAUUCAGGGCCACAGCGGACGUUGAGGGGUCCCUGGGAUUCUUCACGCAGCCCGGAGCGACAGCGCGAUGGCCUGUGCCGAGUGCCUAGGCCCUCCCGAGUCCAGCGGGCCUUCGGUCCGGUGCCGCCCGCCUGCAGCCGCUUCCGCACAUUCUGAGCGGCUUACCUCAUCGCUGCUUCACACAGCUAAGAAAACCGGGAAGGUGGCUAUCGUAUUUUUUAAGCAAUUAAAUGCUAAUUACUUGACAUUAAGUUGAGUUUUCUCCAAAUUUGUUCUUGAUUUCGUGGACCGUCCCAGCCUCGGCCCCGUUCGUUUUCACAGUUGAGUCUGCCUUCCUCCUGAGUGCUAGCUUCCAGAACCGGGGGGUCAGAGGCCUUCGGGCUGGCCAGUCAGCGAGCCAGACAGGUGGGGUCACCAAAUGCAGACAUGGAAAGCUCGAGAAUUUCCGAUGAAUCGUGAAAAUAUUUUUUCAGUGUAAGGGUGUUAUACAUACUGUGUGGGACAUGGCUAAACUAAAAAGGUACUUGUUAUUUAUCGGAAAUUCAAAUGGAACUGAAUAUUUUUUUUUUCGGGCAACCAUAGACCCCGGGGAAGUGGAGGGGGGGCGGCCCCAGCCCUGAGCCCUGGGCUCUAGACUGGGGCCAGGGCUCUCCUUACGGCAAGGGUCCUGGCACCAAACCUCCCAGUUCAUCCCUGCAGCUCUAACUCUCC
ensembl:lincRNA